rfam:Triticum aestivum genome assembly, contig: Triticum_aestivum_CS42_TGACv1_scaffold_129339_2BL
UUAGUACUUCCUCUGUCCGGAAUUACUUGUCAUCAAAAUGGAUGAUGUAUCUAGAAUUAAAACACAUCUAGAUACAUCCAUUUCAAUGACAAGUAUUUUCGGACGAAGAAAGUAUAAA